UCAUGUCAAUUGAUUCCUGAGGGUCAAAAUAGGUAAAAAGUCAAAAGACUUGGUCAACAAAACAUGACGAUCCGAAUAUCGGUGCCAACAUAAAAGGAGCCAGAUCGAGAAAGCAUAGCGUCUCAACCAGAGCCAGGGUAAUAAUUAAGCGUCAAGGUUGGCAGCUGGUUACCUACACUGUCUGUCACUGUGGCGCUACCAUCUCGAUCUGUAUAUGUGCUAACUGUGAGCAUAAUUAUGUUAUAUUAAGCCAAUCAGAAAUAUAUCUUGUAAGUCACCGGCAUUCUUGCUUGCGGAACAUUUUGAUAAAUUCAGACAAAAUACCACCAAAGUAACGGUUUUUAUGCUUUCCACCGAUUUUUGACACACGUUGUGGCGUAUUAAACCGAUUGAUUCGGAAGCCUAACCUAAUUUGACCCUCAGGAGUCAAUUGGCAGAGUCGAAAAUUAAAUUCCAGUGCCACUUUCGGAACAAACUUAAAAAAAUGAAACAUAUAGAUUCAGAAAAAUGGAUGUCCAAAGUGCUACCUGCAUUUACAAAAUGUAUGCUUUCUUUUCGAUGUGUUUGUUUAAUUUAACCAAUUACCUAUAUACGCAGUUCAAAAAUUACAAUGCUCUGUUCAAAAUGGGUAAUUCACGUUCAAAAUUUUAUUGGCAAAAUUAUCCAAGGACCAAUUUGCAGCUGCUCAAAUUUCCCAUCCGAUUUGUGGAAAGAUAUUGGAUUUCACGCACAUUACCUCUUCUUCCAACUACGAUAUGUCCUCGAUGAUUUGCGGCAUGGUUUGGCCUGACACAAAGCAUUGGCUGCCAAAGAGCUACGAUGAAGUUCGAUGCGUUAUAGAAGCAUUACCCCCAGAAGUGAGAGUCGUGGGCAAACUGCGAUUGCCAGUAUACAAGAGCAAUUGCAGCAAAGAAUUCUUCCUCUGCACCGUUGACACGCCUCGUUCCAUUAAGAAAUCUUUUCUAAAUGCGGAGCUCAAUGGAAAUACGACGAUUUUUCAAAACACCACAGAAUGUGCACUUUUUGAGUUUAAAAAUGAUCCGAAGAAGGCGCCAGAUUUUCGACUGAAAAUUACUGACUGCAACGAAGCUGCUUUUACGUUAUGUGAGAAAGACGUUUAAAGAUAUCGUAUUUGAAUUGCUUGUGAUAUUUGUAUUCCUUUUCAAAAUAAAUCAAU